rnacentral:lncRNA from 1 species
CACAAAUAAUUCCACAUAAAUUCAAAGUUACAUGAAAUAUUAAUAAACUUGUGCAAACGCAUUAUGAAAUCUUUCUCUAUAAUGUUCACUGACUAAAGUAUUUCUGUGGACUAAAUACUCAAUACGUAUUGAUGUAAUGUAAUCUGCGAACAUAAACCUUUGUAGGUACAAACAUAAACAUAAACCUGCAAAGCGAGGUCUACCCUUUUUGAUUCAAGUUUCAUAAAUAUGAUACAUGAUCAAAGCUUAAAGUAAACAACGUCCACGCUUGUACCACAUAGGUUUGCAACUUUCCACGCUGUUCGUUUUUAAUGUUUUCGCAUUAACCAAAUAGCGACAUAAAAUUGGUGGGUUAAAGUUAGGAAAAAUUACGGAGAGGGGGCUCCGCCCCUUCCCCGCCCACGCGUUUUCUGAGAAUAUAUUCAUUCUCUUUCAAUCAAAAGCACAAAUAGUUCGAUGCAAAAUAUUAUCUGUUUUAAACAAAAGUAUUUAUGCAACUUUUUUUGUUAAUAACUUUUUAACGAAUUACGAGCGACGGCUAAUAUCUUUUGAAGGUCACUCAGGAGGGUAUCCUUUACGAGUCUAAUGCCCAGUUUAUUUACUUAUUAAUUUAUGUACUUGUUUUAUGACCGAAAAAGUUUAUUUACAUAGUUUACAAAUCAAUUUUUUUGUUCCUAUGGCAUUGUUAACUUAACCAAGUACUGACUGUAUGCUUAAUUGUUAAUAUUAUAUGUAUAUGCGCCAGCGCAAAUACGAUGCGACUGUCAUCGGCACCUGAGCUUUUUUUUUCCUGCAAAGUCAUUAUUGACAUACAAAUUUGCUCGGCAAAAGUUUUCCCCAUGAUUUCCCGCUUUCUAAGCUGUAUUUUCUUACUGUAUAUGGGUCUAAGAAUCAUAUGGAACAGGUUUUAUUCAUUUGCAAGUGGGGCCGAAAAUCGAUAAUUUCUAAUAUUGUUCUUUGCGUUUUUUUAUUAAAUUUUAUCACUUUAAAUUAUACAAAGUAACAAAUGAUAUGCCAAUAGAAUAAAUAAUGGUACAUUAUACACUCGGACAGCCACUUCUUAAAGACGGAAGUACAGAAUUUUGCAUAAUGCAUUAUAGUGUAUGAUAAGAGAAUCAAUGUGUUGUUCGUUCCUUUCCCUUGCAACAUUAACAGAAAAUAAAUUCUAAUUCAAACAAAAGACUAAUAAUAAGAUAAAAAUAAAAUUUUAUAAUCUUUUGUCAAUAUCACAUCAGUUUUACAUUUAUGAUGUGUGAAUGGACCGCUUGACACAGUGGAAGGGAAAGCCGGGCGAAUGAGAAGCAAGAUAGAUUGCGUAGUUCAAUACGAACUAAUUGAAUUUACUAAAAAGAAACGGAAGAGAUUGCAACCUAUCUUGCCUCUCACUCUAUUCACCCGGCUUUCCUUCCACUGCGUCAAACAUACCAUUCUACAUAUCGAUGGUGGGAGGCUAGGCUCCACCCAUGCAAGGUGGACUCCACUGCCUGUCGUCGCUGGGUGGGAGAGCUCUCUUGAGUGAUAAGAGAGAGCGAUCAGUUCCGAUCGGGCAGUCUGUUAUGGGCUUUUGUGCUGUUCGGACGUUUUCUGUAGUGAGUAGGUAGAUCAAGUAAGAAUAAGACGAGAGCAGUGAAGGAACCUCCCCGAACCUUCGCACGCCUUAUUUCAUGACAAAAUUCCACGUUCUGAGAAUAACUCACUGAAGAAAUUUACUUUUUAUAAUAUAUUUGACUGCUUCUCGCAACACAUAGUACAGGACGACGAGGAUUCUUUCGACUUCAAUAACUCAAAUGUUAUAGGCUGAGACCCUGGGUACUGUGAUCGAAUUUUAUUGAAAAAUAAAAAAAAAGUUCCGAUCGGGCAGUCUUCAAAGAUAGCUGCCCGGUAAGUGUGAGUAAGUGCGAAGGCGCAAUUUCAUCUACCCGGGAUUGAGAUAGGCCAUAUAUAGUAGAGGAAAGGAAAAUAAUGGAUAAAAAAACACUUUUGAGUCAACUAAAUAAGUGGCACGGAAAUAAAGAUCUGCUAGUCAAGGUACGAAUUUUUUCUGUUUCUUUCUUUUUCAACUACAAUUUAAUAUGAAAUCAAAAAGUAUGUCUGUAACAAUAUAGAAACAAACAGCGUGGAUUUUAUUUGGCGUAAAAAGUUGCAAAUCCAUGUAGCAAAGUACAAGUGCGGACGUCGUUUUACUCUGUAAGCAGGGGGAGGUGUGGGUGGACCUCACUUCGCGUAGAAACUCACAGACUCAUGUGGUGCAAAAAAUGCGUAGCCAAGGUGCAGAGGGAGGGACUUCCACGCUUUCCACGCCAAACAAGAUCUACGCUGUUUGUUUCUUUAUUCUGCGUCACGAAGAUAGAAUUAUCUGCUUUAAUCAAAAGUACACUGUACUUCCUAUUUAUAUCCCGUAAGAAUUUGCGUGCGUAAUGUUAGACCUCGACCUUCUGGAGGCAAAUUUGCGUUAUCCCGCCCCCGACAAGCGCGCUAAUAGCAUUCGGCUUGUGUGCAGCCAGUAUUUGCUACGCGCUUACUUUAUUAAUUUUUAACAAAAUUCCCUUUUUCGCUCAUUAUAAGGGAAUAAAAGGAUCGAGCCAAGCGGAAGACGAGAGAGAAAGGGAAAGAUAAAAACAAAGCGAAAAUCGGUCCUCUCCGUCUCGCAGUCAGGCCCGUAAUCUCUGUUCCCGAUGAGCAAAAGAGAAAGAAAGAACCGCGCGUCUUGCGUCCGAGCGCGUGAUUCUGUUUUAUCACGCUGUAUCGGUGAGCACGAAAACACCGGAAUCUCAUCGUAUUAUCUCGAUUUAUACAUUAUUGUUUCCGAUCAUAUACAAAUACACAGUGGUAUAAUUAUACUUACAAUAAUAGGUGAGAGGAUAACCAAUUCCGGACUCACAGUUAUAUGUGUCUCAAUUUAAGCAACACUAGUUUCGGGGACAUACACGCGGUCCGUGAACACAAAGAAUGAUCCCAGAGCGUAAUUGAAUCGAUAACCAAUAUGUUUCACUGAGCGUGUGUACAUAAAGAAACUUAGGUAACUAAAAUACAUAAGGAGUGUAAGGGCACGCUGCCGCUUUGCAGCACGAUCAGAUUCUGACUGACUCAUUUUGCUCGCCGAAAAACAAAAAACAUCUCCAAAUUGAGAGACGACCGCCCACAGGGCGCGCUACCUCGCGACACAUCCGCCUCUAUCACCGCGCCUCUUACAAAUAAGAGCUAGUAUUCCCACCAAACAGAACAAUUACAGUAACAUUGCGGCAAUUUUGUAAUAUUGCUGUAAUGUUGCUACAAUGUUAUAACAUUGCCGCAAUGUUGCUGCUAUGUUCUGUGUAUGCUGGGUUGUACUUGAUUUUGGGCGCGAACGAGCAGCCCAGGCUUGCACCCCGAUCACGGGUGCAAUUACGCACAUGAUUUUAUAAAUAUACAUAUAUACAUAUAUAAAUAACAUUCGUCGCGGCGCUUUGUAACGCCGGAUGUAACACUCAAAUAGUUUGAAAAUUUUUUAGCGCCUUGCACGACCACAGUGGCCGUUUUUAAAGUCGUCGCAUUCAUCUUGAGACGCGAAUGUACGAUCAUGGUAACGGAUUUCCUGCGUUAAUCGUCAAACUUUCCGCCAAAACUUGUUUUCUUCUGUUUUUUUUCUUUCUCCGUUUAUUUUCGCUAUUUUUUUUCUUUUUAUUUUGCAAACCUCUAAAAUUUUAAAUUAAAGUAGGUAAGUUCAAUAAAUGGGGAGAAAAACGCGCAGGAGACGCCAGGCUGGAAGGGCUCACCAGCUCAAAAGGCUGAGGCGGAAUCUCCACAUAGCGGAGAAAUUUAAUCCCGCGGCGCAACAGAUGGAAAGUUAUUAGGCACUUGGGCAGCGACUGUCGGCGUACCUGACCCCUUCGAAACCGUAAGUUCGGAAAUACAUCUCGCGGCUCCGGGUCCCGCUGCCCGCAUACGGAAAAAAAUAACUUCGUAAUAGUAGCUAAACUUCAUUAGCUGAAUCCAGGUUAGUUCUAACAGCUACCGCCUUAGUAUCAUAGCUAAACUCUAUCUAUUACAGCAAAACGACACUAACUGUAACGUAAAAGUUUAAUAGCUGAAUUCAAAGCGUAUAUUAGCACAAGCAGCCAAAAACGUUGCAGCCGUUGCUAAAUUUCUUAUCAUGCACAAACAUUAUGGGAUAUGCUUCACAAGCUACAACACUUAGCACUCAUAACUAAAUUUAUAGUUACGCGCGCAAACAUUUGAUUCGCAAUUGUUUACGCGACGCUACUAUUGGCGCCCUUAGUCGGGACCUUUCUAUAUCGUUAUUCGGCAAAUGUAUACGCCAAAGUAUAACGCUCGAUUCUCUCAUGAGUAUAUCGGUAUAUCUAAGACAGGUCAUGCGCGAAGUGGACGCGUUACGUACUAUUCAUUGAUGUUUGCUGCUGUAGAUACCUUUUCGGUAUCAUAACCAACAUUGUCGCACAUUAUAAUAGUGAUGUAACGAAUAUUCACAUUUGCAUUCGCAUUCGCGAAUAUUCGCUGAUUUCAAAGUAUUCGCAUUCGCAUUCGCAUUUACAGAAAAUAUGCGAAUGUUUUGCGAAUAUUACUUUAGUAAAAGUUGGUCUCUUUAGAGGAAAAAAAAAAA